rnacentral:lncRNA from 1 species
UAGUGUCAUGUUUCAGAUAACCAACAUUUAUAGAAUGAAGUGCUUGCGAAUUAAAAGUCUCGGCUCAACAAAAGAUAUUGUUUAGAGUCACAACAUAAUAGGUCUUAAGUUAAGGAAAACAAAAGACAGAUACUGGCUAAUUCUACAGCGGAAGUCAAAAUAUGGAGUUGAACCUUAGCCUCAGCUCUGCCCCGUCAUCACCUGCCGUUAACCUGAAAACAUUUGAAAAUAUUUGGGCUAAGUACUAAUGUACUUAGUGGGCUACAACUUUAAAACAUUUCAUAACCUGAAGAACAGUUUAUCCAAUCAUACUUGACAUGACUUAGAAGGUUUUAAAGU